GCUUAGAAUCUGCCAUUUAGGGGGACAACAUCCGAGGAAUGCUAUACCGCAUACGUCCUACGGGAAAGCGGGGAUCUCGACCUGCCUUGAUGAGGCCUAAAGUCAGGAUUAGCUAAGUUAGGUAGAGAGAGUAAAAGGCCUACCAAAGAGCGAGCAGAGUCUAGUAAGCGAGAGGUCUAGAAAGAGAUGAGUCCCGCCACACUAGNGNG
rnacentral:rRNA from 1 species